AAAAAGAUAGAAAUGAAACAGAAUGAAACGAAAAUGAGAGCAAGGAAGGAAAGAAAAGAAAGAAAGGGAGAAAAGGGAAAUUUCAGAUUUCAAGGUUUGAAAGUUUAAUUGGUAAGUCAAUUUAGCCCUUUUUUACUUAAUUUUGAUGUUUUAGAAGCUUUGGAACAAGAUUUUGAUGAAAUUAAGUUGAUAUUUUGAAAGUUAUUAGAUUUCUAGAUAAUGUUCGUGUUGAGUAAAAUGAUGAAUUAAGGGCUAAAUUGAUAUAAAUUCAAGUUAGAAAUGAAAUAAGGAUUGAAUUGUAAAGUGAUUCAUAGUUUUAUGCUUAAGGACUAAAUUGAAAGAAUUUCAAAAUUAUGGUUUUAUGAUGAAAAAUAGAUAAUUAUGUCCAAGUUUGGUUAAAAAUUAAGUAGAAAUAAAGUAUGAAUUAAGAUAGAAAAGUAAGUGAAUUUAGUUAGAAUUAAAUUGAAAUUAAAAGUAGAAAAUCAACAUUUUACACUAAGACUAUUUUGGACAGCAACAGUAGUCUAAGUUUGAGAAAUCACCAAAAAUUGUAGAAAUUGAAUUAGAGGAUGAAUAAAAUAUGGAAUUAAAUUUUAUUGAGUCUAGUUUCUUAUAGAAGAAACAGUAUAAGCAAUUGAAUUGUAAAUGAUAAGAUAUAAUGAAUUUUCUGAGACAAGGUCAGAAUGAAUUCGGGUUCCUCUGUUCUGACUUUGGAAAAUCAUCAAAAAUUGGAGAAAAAUAAUUUGAGGGUUAAAGUUAUAUGUUUAGAAUCCCUAAUGAGUAUAUUUUCAUGAGAAAUCAAUGGGAAUAUUAUCCUAGUUCUGUACUGUGAGAUAAUUAAUUUUUAGUGAAGAAGGGUCGAAACUGUCAGACAGCAGAAUAGGGGUGAAUUUAAAGAAUAAAAUGUACUUAAUGGCUAAACCAAAAAUUCUGAAAAUUUUAUGGUAAGAAGAUUGUUGAGUCUAGUUUUAGGAAAAAUUAGCGGAUCUUAAUUUAGAAUUCUGUAACUCAAGAUAUAAAUUAGUAAUGUCUUAAUGAUUAUGAAUUGUAUUAAUUUCGUAGUUAAUGUGGUACCGAAAAUCUCGGCUAAGAAAGGACAAGACAAAGUCAACGGGAGUUAGCUCGAAAAUUACAGUUUGUAUUUCUAUAACCUGAACUUAAUAUUUAAUUAUUGAAUUUAUUAUUUAUUAUGUAUGGUAGGUGCAUUGAUUAAAUUAUUUGAAAUAAAAUGAAUAUUGAUUGAAAUUGAAGGGUAAAUUUAAUUAAUAAUUGUUGUAUUUUAAUUGAAUGUUAAGGUAAAUAAUUAAAGUAUAAAUUAUUGGUAUUGUGUUUUUAUUGAAAUGAUUUGAUUUGAAAAUAUGGUGAAAUAAUUAUGAACAUUUGUUUAUUGUGAAAUUGAAUAUUUAUUAGUGAAAAGUGAAUGGAAUUAUAUUGAAUUGAAAAAAAAUAUAAUUAAUUAAUUAAAAUAUGAAUUAAUUGAAAACUGAAAAGUGAAUUAAAUACCCUAUUAACUAGUCGGGAUAGUCGGAUAUAGUUGGCAUGCCAUAGGAUAUGAAAGAGUACGGGUUUUUGCCGGCUUACUGAUCAGGCACUUAUGUGCCGACUACUGUUACUAUUACCGAUUCGGCAUUUUGUCUGUCAGAUAUUGUUACUGUUACUGUUUCGAAUUUGUUUCGAUGAAGUACUCUGUGUACCGUACUGUUACUAUUUCGGAUUUGUUCCGAUGAGGUACUCUGUGUACCGUAUUGCUACUGUUACUGUUACUGUUUCGGCUUCGGCCGAUGAGGCACUAUGUGCCGUACUGGUGUGUUGGUUGGAUCCGUGUAUCCGUUUGAGUCCGAGUCAUGUUAAUAGGGGUAAAUAAAGGAACUGGAAAGAUCGACUGUUACUGAAUAAUUUAAUUGUUACUGAAUAACUGAUUAUUAUUAAAUAAUUGAUUGUUACUAAAUAACUGACUGUUACUGAAUAAAUAAUCGUUCUGAUUGACUGGUUGCUAAUGAAUAUUACUGAUUGAUUAAUUUCUAUUGAAAAAAUAAUAAAUGAUUUUGCAUUUAAAGUAGACCAAAACAUUGGUUGGAAAGUGAAUGUUUGAAUACUCAUUGAGUUUGAAUAGUUCAAUAUAUAAAAAUUAAUAUGUUUUAUAAUUGUUUAAGUGUUCGGAUUGUAGAAAUACCACUGAGUGUAUACUCAGCGUACGGUUUGUUUCCGUGCGCAGUUAAGGUUAGACCGUUGAAUUAGCAUCCCAGGCCGAUCCCUAAUUCAAUGAGGUAAAGUAUGUUGAGUAUUGGUAAUGGCAUGUACCUAGGAUGUCUUAUGAGAGUCAUUUAGGUUGUGAAAGUAUUGAUAAAAUAAGUAAAUUAUGGUUGGCAAUGGUAUAUAGUAUGAAUUUGAAAUUUGAAUGAAAAUUUCUUAAUAAUUCAAAAUUAGUUCCGAAUUGAUUUUAAUGUUCAUAUUAGACCGCGAGGGCCCAUUAAAGGGACAACAUCUUAAAAUUAUGAUGAGUCUGAACGUUUAUAUUUAAUUAAUGUCUGUAUUGUACUGUACUGACUGGUAAUGUCUCAUAACCCUGUUCCGACGACGGUAUGGGGUUAGGGGACGUUACAUAGUAAAAGCUCAGCUUGAGUGAAAGUUCUUUGACAUCGAUUAUAGGAUUGAGAAAAAUAAGUGAAAAACCAAAACCACUUUUCUGGUAGGAUUUUUAGGGACGAAAAUCCCUAAAGGGGGAGAAAUGUAACAUCUCGAUUUUGCGCCUAGUCGAAACAAUGGUUUCGGGAUGACAAAUCCAAUGAAGAAAAUUUUAUUUUUAUUAUAUUUUUAUGGUCUACAAUUUCACAAAAUGAUUUCGUGAAAAUUUCGUUCGAAAAUUUUGAUGUUUGGGCACUCAAUUUAGUCAAAAGAACUAAAUCGUAAAAAGUGCAAAAGUUAAGUUCUACAUGCUAGAGGUGUCCAAUUGUUAUGAAAUUUUAAAUUGGAGAUCCUUAUAUGGUAAUUAGACCAUUGGUUAAGUUAGUGGACACAAAUGGAUAUGGUUAGGCAUGUUUCCAAAGUUUUUCAUUAAGGGCAUUUUGGCCAUUUAGUUAUUAAAAUGAAUUAAAAACAAAAUUGAAAGCCAAUUUUUGUCCAUCUUCAACCUCUUGGCCGAAAUUUGCAUGGAGAAACCAUCGAUAAGGUUUUUCAAGCGUCCAAGCUCGAUUGUAAGUCCGUUCUAGCCCCGUUUUUAAUGAUUUUACAUUUUAUAAUCCCCGUAACAAGAUCUAUCUAUUUCUACCAUUAAUUUGAGCUAGAGUUUAUGUUUAAAAAUUGACCCAUGUGUGACAUGCAUGAAUUUUGAUGCCUAAUGGUAGAAAAUGAGUAUUGGGUGUUAAAUAAAUGACUUUUACUAAGCGGUUUUCGAUGAAAAUGUCCGAAAGGACCAUUUUGUAAAAGUUGUAAAAUGGUAUAAAUGUGUGUUUUUGAUGAGAAUUGUAGUUUUCUAUAGUUAUGACAAUGAUUCAGCUAGGCUUAAAAUGCAAGGAAAUUGAAUAAAAAUCAUUUUACGAGUCUAGGGGAAAAAGUGUAAUUUUGACAAAGUUUAGGGGAAAAUGUAAUUUUUCCAAAAUAUAAUUUCUGGAUCAAUUUGAAUAAUGUGAGUCCUAAAUGGGCUAUAUUUGAAAUGAUAAAUCAAGGAAAUCGAGAUUCGGGCUUAAAUCAAGAAAAUACAAGGUUAUGGACUAAAUUGAUAAUUGUCAUUUUCGUAUUCGAGGUAAGUUUCGUGUGAUUUAAUAAGCAUUUUAUUUAUGUUAUUAUUGUUAUACAUGAAAUGUAUCUUGCUAUGAUUGUGUUGAAAUUGAUGUUAAUGGAGGUUUGAUGGAACAUGACAUUUUAAAUGAAAUGAGUAAGUUGUAUGGAAAUAAGAUGCUAUGUUAUUUUUAUUCUAUAGUUUAAUGUUUAAUAAACAUGAAAAUGAGUUGGUUUGAAUGUACAUUGCAUGACCAUCUAUGCAUAUUGAUAUGCUUGAUGAAAAGAGAAAAUCCCCGGUUGAAGAUGGAAAUAAAAUGAUAAUGCCUUGAACAUGGACGUUUGAUGGAUAGUUUGGUAACCAUGGUACAAUGGUAUAAAGUGAGAAAUAGUAAUAAUGUUAAAUUGAUUAUGGAAUUGGUGUAGAAUGUCUUAGUCAAGCAUAUUGUUUUAUACAUGUGAAAUGUGGACACUUUAUAAAGUUAUGACUUGGUUAGAAGGUUAUGCUUGAUGAUAAGUUGUGCAUUUUUCAGUUGAGAAAUUAUGAAGAUCCAGGAUAUGAUAGGUUUUCUGAGAAUUGGGAUCAGAUUUAGAACAAGAAAGGGAAUAUGAGAGGAAAAAAAGGUAUAUGAGUUGAUGCACAUUAUUUGAAAAGUAUAAACAGAAAAACAAUUAUUCAUAAAGGGGUUAGACCACAUAAGUAGCAAGUUCGCAGUACGAAUGUGCCCACAAUUAUCAUGUAUAGGAACCUAGACCAGUGAAAUACGCCAAUGGGCAGAAUGAGUCAUGGUAGGAUAGGACAAAUGUAUUGUGGACUAGAGGGAUGUGUCUGCCUUGUAAUACCCCACUCGACGUAGUUCCAAGAUGUUGUUUUGUGUGGGCAUAUUAUUGGCUAAAGUAUAAGCCAAGGAAGGCUAAUUUAUGCCCUACCAGCCUGGUUAAGUUAGUGUUGAUUGUUGUGCUAUGAUUCGCGCAUUGUUUGGCUCUCCUGAUAAGUCUAUAAAGAUGUGGUAGAAAGGUUCAUAUUUUGGUGAAUUGUAGGUUACUAAUCUAUACGUUUUGGCAUGGUUGAUGUGGAAAACUCGCCAAUUAGUGGAUUCUCUUGAUGAGCCUCAUGUUGGCAGAUCCUUCUGUUAGUAUCCAACAGUGGCGAUUUUUUAAGUCAUGGACCCGAUAGUUUUCCUUAUAAGAAUGUGGGUUUAAUUUUGGGGGGUGUGUAAACUCGAAAUUAUAUAGGGCUUUUCUAUAUGUUUUUACCACUUUUUUACUUAAUUAUUGUGUUUAUCUUAAAUAAUUAUUAUUGAAAUAGGUGAAUUUUACUUAAUGAGUGAUUUUGGACAUGAUUUUGGAAAGUAUGUGAAAUUAUGCUUAAUUACAUGAUGUUCAUGCAUAUUUUAUAUGAACUUAUGUUAAUUUAUUCAUGUAUGUAUUUUUCACUAUGUAAGAUGUAAUAGCCCGAUUUUGGGCCUAGUCGGAACAGUGGUUUCGGGACCACUAUUCCGAGGCCAGAGAAAAUUAUUUUAGUAUUAUUUUAUGUGUUAUAAUAUGAUUUUAUAAGUGCAUGUUAAUUUUGGUAUAUUAAUUUUAGCGAUUUCUAGUCCAAUUUCAAAAAAGGACUAAAUCGCGUAAAAAGUAAAAGUUGUGUUUUAAUACCUAAAGGUGUUAAAUUGCCUUGUAUCUUAAAUUGGGGGUCUUUAAAGUGAAAUUAUGCCAUUAAAAGUGUGAUGGCCGGCCAUGGGAGACAAAAUAGUUGAAAAGUCAAAAUUAGACAAAAUAGUUUUAUUAUUAACAAAUAAAAAAAAGAAAAAGAAAAAGCUAUCAUUUUUCUCUUCCCCUCCACUGAAAUAUGCAGCAAAGAAAGGUUUUUGAAGCUGGAAAAUUUCAGCAACAUAUUUCCCUUGCUUGUAAGUGAUUUUAAUGUCUUUGCUUGAUGAUUUUUGUAUUUUUGGAACCUCUAAAGCAUAAGCUUUCAUAAGAGGGGAUUAUUUUGCAAAAUGAUGAAGAGUCUAGGGUUUUACCAUGAGAGUAAAUGUGUUGUUUGCUAUGUUUUUAUGGAAGAUUAUGAGUCCUAGUUGUCUAAUAAACAACUUUUGUGAAAGAAAUUGCAUGAAAAUACCUUAAAAAGGGGUAAAUUGCUAAGUUGUAAAAUGAGUUGUAAAUGUGUAAAAUAGUUGAAAUUAUGAGUUUCUAUAGUUAUGAAAAUGGUUCAUCUAGACUCAAGGAGUAAAUAAAUGUGAUAAAAAUUAAUUUACGAGCAUUCGGGCAAAAGUGCAAAUAUGCAAAAGUUUAGGGGUCAAAAUGGAAAUUUGUAAAAAUAUGAUUUUUAGACCCAUAUGAAUAUUGUGACUGAUUGGUAGGCUAAAUGUGAUGUUAUAGAUGAUGAAAAUUGAGACUUGGACCUAGAACGGAAAGAAAUCGAUUUAUGGACGAGUAUGUCCUUUUCACCUUUGUGGUAUUGAGGUAAGUUCAUGUGUAAAUAAUGUAGCAUAAUUGUUAUUUUUAAGUCAUUGAUGUUAAAUAUAUGAUAUGCUGAUUUCUAUCAUGAAAUAUAUGCUUUGUGGUUAUUUUCGAAUAAAAUGUAAGUUAUGUGUAUUAUCUGUUAAAUAUAAAGUGCUACCGAGUAUUGGUUUCGGUAUUUUACGGAAGAUGGCAAGGAGAUGUGUUCGAGGAAAAUCCCGUUUGAACCUUAGGAAUAGAUUAGGAUACAAGUGACAUGUCACUAGGAUGGUUGAGCAUCCGAACUCGUUGAGUCGAGUCUGAGUUCACUUAUGGAUGCGAAUGUUCGAACUCGUUGAGUUGAGUCCGAGUUCGUGAGAUGUAACUAGGCAUCCGAGCUCGUUGAGUUGAGUCCGAGUUCACUUAUGGGUGGGUUACAUGGUAGCUUGGCUACAUAUGUGGCACUUAUGUGCAAACUUUCCAUGUAUCCGAAUUAUAUUCCGAUGUGUUCAACGGGUAAAAUUCUACUCAAAUGGAGGAAUACUCGAGAUGAAAGGGACGUAUUGGUAAAUGUUGUGAAAUGGAUACUUUGAACAGGUAUGUACUUAACCCUCGGGUUGAAAACUCGACAUAACAACAAUAUGGUAAGAUGAUAAAUGAAAAUGUGAUAUGAAUGUCUCGGUGAUGAUUAUACAAACGAUGUUGUAUUAAUUUUGUGAGCAAUGAUCAUAAAUGAGUAAUUUAGCCUUGACAGAUUUGAGUUACUGCAGUAGUGUAACUUUGAAAAUACACUAAAAAUAGUGGAAAAUGAGUUAGAGGCAGAAUAAAAUAUGGGAUUAAAGAUUAAUGAGUCUAUUUUCACAUGAAAGAAACAGAGGAAGAAAAAGAAUUCCAUAUUGUGUGAUAUUUGAAUUCUUGUGAAACAGGGUCUGAAUGAAUUCGAGAUCCCCUGUUCUGACUUUAGAAAUUCACCAAAAAUAGUACAAAAAUUAUAAAGAGUCAUACCUUACAUGAAUGGAUUCCUUAUUGAGUCUAUUUUUAGGGAAAAUAAACGCCAUGGUCGUUGGAAUUUUUUUACAGGGAGAAAUUUGGUUUGUAGUGCACAGGGGCCAGAGUGGUCAUACCCUGAAAAAGGGGAGAUUUUAACUAAUAAACUGUACUAAUUGGCCCAACCAAAAAUUCUAGAAAAAAAUUAGUAAGUAGAAAUAUGAGUCUAGUUUCAAGAGAAAUAGACGAGAACAUUAUUUGAGUCUUGUACUAUGAGAUAAUUGAACUUUAUUACAGAAGGGUCGGAACUGUCAGACAGUGAAUUAGGGGUAACUUUGAGGAAUAAACUGUACUAUUUGGCUUUACCAAAAAUUCUGAAAAUUUUAUGGAAAAAAUGAAAAUAAGUCUAGUUUCAGAGAAAUUAACGGAAUUUAAUUCGGAGUUUCGUAGCUCCAGAUAUAAAUAAUUUAGUGACUGUUGCUCAGGAAGACAGCUUGUAGUGAACUUGAGAAUAUGUUGUAAACAUUGAUAAAACAAGUUAAUGAGUUGCUUAUUGUUUUCAUAUGAACUUACUAAGCGAAAGGUUACCCCCCUUCUUUCCCAUGUUUUCUAGAGUUUCCAAGUUAGCUCGGGUUGGAGGCCGUCAGAGAUAUUAUCACCCUAUCGAGUUAACGUUAUCGGAGUAAGUAAACUCAAGUGAUUCGAGUCUAUGGCAUGUAUAGGGUUUUAAUGUGAGUAUGUAAUAUUAUGAUUUAGCCAAAGGCAUUGGCUUGUUAUUAAGGUAGUAUUAGUCAUGUAAAUUGGCCUAUGUCGGCUAAUGACGCUAUGGGCCCAUAUGAUUAUUCUUAUGCAUGUAUGUUAUUAUCUCUUGUGAUGUGGCUUACAACAUGUAUGCCUAGAGAUUGAAUUGAGAUUCAUUGAUGAGCUAGUAACUAAUGCAGGAUUAAGUGAUUGGUAAAUAGUUAAUAAUGCUUCAUGAAUGGUUUGUGAUGUAAUGAUAGUUAUGUCUAGUAUGUGGUAAUGAUAUGGGCAAAUUCUAUAAUAUUUAUUGCAUAAGAAAAUAACUUGAG
rnacentral:lncRNA from 1 species